CCUACGGGCGGCAGCAGUGAGGAAUAUUGGUCAAUGGACGAGAGUCUGAACCAGCCAAGUAGCGUGAAGGAUGACUGCCCUAUGGGUUGUAAACUUCUUUUAUAUGGGAAUAAAAUGUUCCACGUGUGGGCUUUUGUAUGUACCAUAUGAAUAAGGAUCGGCUAACUCCGUGCCAGCAGCCGCGGUAAUACGGAGGAUCCGAGCGUUAUCCGGAUUUAUUGGGUUUAAAGGGAGCGUAGGUGGAUUGUUAAGUCAGUUGUGAAAGUUUGCGGCUCAACCGUAAAAUUGCAGUUGAAACUGGCAGUCUUGAGUACAGUAGAGGUGGGCGGAAUUCGUGGUGUAGCGGUGAAAUGCUUAGAUAUCACGAAGAACUCCGAUUGCGAAGGCAGCUUACUGGACUGCAACUGACACUGAGGCUCGAAAGUGUGGGUAUCAAACAGGAUUAGAUACCCCUGUAGUC
rnacentral:rRNA from 1 species